GUAAGGAAUAUUGGUCAAUGGACGCAAGUCUGAACCAGCCAUGCCGCGUGGAGGAUGAAGGUCCUCUGGAUUGUAAACUUCUUUUAUCUGGGAAGAAAUCCAUUUUUUCUAAAAUGGUUGACGGUACCAGAUGAAUAAGCACCGGCUAACUCCGUGCCAGCAGCCGCGGUAAUACGGAGGGUGCAAGCGUUAUCCGGAUUCACUGGGUUUAAAGGGUGCGUAGGUGGGUCUGUAAGUCCGUGGUGAAAUCUCCGAGCUUAACUCGGAAACUGCCAUGGAUACUAUAGGUCUUGAAUACUGUGGAGGUCAGCGGAAUAUGUCAUGUAGCGGUGAAAUGCUUAGAUAUGACAUAGAACACCAAUUGCGAAGGCAGCUGGCUACACAAAUAUUGACACUGAGGCACGAAAGCGUGGGGAUCAAACAGGAUUAGAUACCCGAGUAGUCC
rnacentral:rRNA from 1 species